UACGGAGGAUCCGAGCGUUAUCCGGAUUUAUUGGGUUUAAAGGGAGCGUAGGUGGAUUGUUAAGUCAGUUGUGAAAGUUUGCGGCUCAACCGUAAAAUUGCAGUUGAAACUGGCGGGCUGGAGUUGGAGAGAAGUACGCGGAAUGCGCGGUGUAGCGGUGAAAUGCUUAGAUAUCGCGCAGAACCCCGAUUGCGAAGGCAGCGUACCGGCUCCACACUGACGCUGAGGCACGAAAGCGUGGGUAUCGAACAGG
rnacentral:rRNA from 1 species